AACGAACGCUGGCGGCAUGCCUAACACAUGCAAGUCGAACGAUACCUUCGGGUCUAGUGGCGCACGGGUGCGUAACGCGUGGGAACCUGCCCUUAGGUUCGGAAUAACUCCCCGAAAGGGGUGCUAAUCCCGGAUAAUGUCUUCGGACCAAAGAUUUAUCGCCUUUGGAUGGGCCCGCGUUGGAUUAGCUAGUUGGUAGGGUAAAAGCCUACCAAGGCGACGAUCCAUAGCUGGUCUGAGAGGAUGAUCAGCCACACUGGGACUGAGACACGGCCCAGACUCCUACGGGAGGCAGCAGUGGGGAAUAUUGGACAAUGGGCGAAAGCCUGAUCCAGCAAUGCCGCGUGAGUGAUGAAGGCCUUAGGGUUGUAAAGCUCUUUUACCCGGGAUGAUAAUGACAGUACCGGGAGAAUAAGCUCCGGCUAACUCCGUG
rnacentral:rRNA from 1 species